AUACAGAGGGUGCAAGCGUUAAUCGGAAUUACUGGGCGUAAAGCGCGCGUAGGUGGUUAGUUAAGUUGGAUGUGAAAGCCCUGGGCUCAACCUGGGAAUGGCAUUCAAAACUGGCUGACUAGAGUAUGGUAGAGGGAAGGGGAAUUCCAGGUGUAGCGGUGAAAUGCGUAGAUAUCUGGAGGAACAUCAGUGGCGAAGGCGCCUUCCUGGACUAAUACUGACACUGCGGUGCGAAAGCGUGGGUAGCAAACAGGAUUAGAAACCCCGGUAGUCC
rnacentral:rRNA from 1 species